GGAUCAAUAUGCUGGUCGUGCCUUUGGUACGUACUGGUAUUAUUGGUUUCUCCUUUCUGAUGAAUCAUGAUGUCAUUAAUUUGGUGUCAUGGGGAAUCAGGACUGUUACUUUGAAAAAAUUAGAGUGUUUAAAGCAGGCUUACGCUUGAAUACAUUAGCAUGGAAUAAUGAAAUAGGACGUUUAAUUCUAUUUUGUUGGUUUCUAGGAUUGACGUAAUGAUUAAUAGGGAUAGUUG
rnacentral:rRNA from 1 species